rnacentral:rRNA from 1 species
GACGAACGCUAGCGGCGUGCCUAAGAAAUGCAAGUCGAGCGAGACCGCCUCUCACGGCGUGUCGCCUCGGUUCCUCACCUCCGGAAAAGGAAACUCCCACACGGGAACCCCUACCGGCGGGGGCGGGGUCGUGGCGGCUUGCGUGAGAGGCGGAAAAGCGGCGAACGGUCGCGUAGCACGUAAGCAACCUGCCCCACAGACCGGGACAACGGUGCGAAAGCGCCGCUAAUACCGGAUGCGCCCCCAGGUCACCUGGCCUGUGUGUAAAGCCUUGCCUUCGGGUCGGGGCUGUGGGAGGGGCUUGCGGCCCAUCAGGUAGUUGGUAAGGUAACGGCUUACCAAGCCUUCGACGGGUGG